rnacentral:lncRNA from 1 species
AACCUUGAACUUCUUUCAGCUCUUCAAAGUCUUCCCACGGCUAGAAAGAGAUGAAGAGACAAAGACUUAGAUUGGCAGUAUCAUAACACAAAAUUUGAAAUCUCAUGGGAGGCUUAGGUGAUCAAUAACAACAAAUAGGUCUCAUAGUUGUCUUCUUGUAGAAGUAGAAAAGUGGAAAGAACAAGGUUUACAGUUGAGUUUUAGGUGCAUUAAAGCUCAUGUUACAUAUUAGCAUUCUGGUUAACUCAAGCUCUUUCUACGGAAUGUGGCUUAGGUGAUCAAUAACAACCAAAAGUUCUCAUAGUUGUCUUCUUGUAGAAGUAGAAAAGUGGAAAAAACAAGGUUACAGUUGAGUUUUAGGUGCAUUAAAGCUCAUGUUACAUAUUAGCAUUCUGGUUAACUAAAGCUCUUUGUACAGAAUGUAUG